rnacentral:rRNA from 1 species
UCUGGCACCUUCGGUGUCCGAGUUGUAAUUUGAAGAUUGUAACCUUGGGGUUGGCUCUUGUCUAUGUUUCUUGGAACAGGACGUCACAGAGGGUGAGAAUCCCGUGCGAUGAGAUGCCCAAUCCUAUGUAAGGUGCUUUCGAAGAGUCGAGUUGUUUGGGAAUGCAGCUCUAAGUGGGUGGUAAAUUCCAUCUAAAGCUAAAUAUUGGCGAGAGACCGAUAGCGAACAAGUACAGUGAUGGAAAGAUGAAAAGAACUUUGAAAAGAGAGUGAAAAAGUACGUGAAAUUGUUGAAAGGGAAGGGUUUGAGAUCAGACUCGAUAUUUUGUGAGCCUUGCCUUCGUGGCGGGGUGACCCGCAGCUUAUCGGGCCAGCAUCGGUUUGGGCGGUAGGAUAAUGGCGUAGGAAUGUGACUUUGCUUCGGUGAAGUGUUAUAGCCUGCGUUGAUGCUG